GCGGAAUGCUUUACACAUGCAAGUCGAACGGCAGCACGGAGAGCUUGCUCUCUGGUGGCGAGUGGCGAACGGGUGAGUAAUAUAUCGGAACGUGUCCAAUAAUGGGGGAUAACGAGUCGAAAGAUUCGCUAAUACCGCAUACGCCCUACGGGGGAAAGCAGGGGAUCGUAAGACCUUGCGUUAAUGGAGCGGCCGAUAUCUGAUUAGCUUGUUGGUGAGGUAAAGGCUCACCAAGGCGACGAUCAGUAGCUGGUUUGAGAGAACGACCAGCCACACUGGAACUGAGACACGGUCCAGACUCCUACGGGAGGCAGCAGUGGGGAAUUUUGGACAAUGGGGGCAACCCUGAUCCAGCCAUUCCGCGUGAGUGAAGAAGGCCUUCGGGUUGUAAAGCUCUUUCGCAAGGGAAGAAAACUUAUGAUCGAAUAAAUCAUAAGGUUGACGGUACCUUGAUAAGAAGCACCGGCUAACUACGUGCCAGCAGCCGCGGUAAUACGUAGGGUGCGAGCGUUAAUCGGAAUUACUGGGCGUAAAGCGUGCGCAGGCGGUUUUGUAAGUCGGAUGUGAAAUCCCCGGGCUCAACCUGGGAACUGCGUUCGAAACUGCAAGGCUAGAGUGUGUCAGAGGGGGGUAGAAUUCCACGUGUAGCAGUGAAAUGCGUAGAGAUGUGGAGGAAUACCAAUGGCGAAGGCAGCCCCCUGGGAUAACAC
rnacentral:rRNA from 1 species